GCCUCAGUAGAGUCCUUGCACUGCUCAGCAGGGUCACAACUCUCCAGUGCCACCUUAUGAACACAAGAAAAAGUAAGUAGAGAUUACCUUCUAGUAAGGAUGAAGGAAUCACUCACCCCUUUCCAAGGAUCAGGGCACAUCCCACACUGCAAUCAAGGAGGUCAGGGAAGGCAUCACCAUGUGGUGGAUAAGUCUCCAAUCUAGAAGGAAAGAAACUUUCAUAUUAGGUACUGAACCAAAUGGCUUACAAAAAAACAGAGGUCAAGCUAGAAACCCCAAGUCAUAUGACAUACUCACUGCAAGUCUGUUUUGGAGUAUACCACUUCAUUUUCCAUCUCACUUGGUCAAACCUUACCAGAAAUCAUUUGGUUUAUUCCAGACCCAAGGUGGACCAAUAAGCAGCCCGGAAAAAAAAUAAAAAAUAAAAAAAACUAAGGCAAACAUCACAUACCAGCAGGAAAACAUACUGAAUCUGAAGAUAAGAGGACAAAUCCAUAUUUUCUGGGAUCAGCAGAGGGUACUGAGAUCCCACCAGAACUGGGGAGCCCUAAGAUGGGCAAAGGAAGAACACCCGGUGACAGCAAGGUGAGCACAAGCGACAACCAACACCAAGCCCGUAGGACCUCUGCAAGCGCGGGAACGACCUCAGGGGUCAGCAGAGCUUGCCAGACAGAGGAAGGAGUGCAUCUUGGCGUCCAUCUCUGGCUGUGGGUUCCUGCUGCGUCCACCAAAUGCCUCCAUAGAGUCCUUGCAGCGCCCCGGACAACUGCACUUCUCCACUGCAACCUGCUCCACACAGCACAAGACAAGUAGAGAUUACCUUCUGGUCAGGAUGGAGGAAUCACUUACCCCUUAUCCAUGCUGAGGUCACAUCCAACUCUGCAAACUGGGGAGAGAAGAAGAACAGGCAACGCCAUCUGAUGGCAGAG
ensembl:lncRNA